AGGGAAACAUGUUACAUAUAUAUAUGGUGGCUAUUGACUAAUGCAUAAUGCAAUCUAUCCCAAUUUACCUGGGAACUAAAUCAAUUUUGUUUAAAAGAAAUAUAAGUUUUUUUCCUUUUUCUACAACAGCUUCUUCUGUUUUAAGAUGACGGCACUCAUUAGGACAUCGGGCAUCCAGGACUUGAACAAUUACGUCUGCCUUUUCCAAAAUGUGUUUUAAAUUACGGUAAUAGCAAUGGGUGGAAUUCCCUUUGGAGAUAGAUGGUUCUAAUGUAUGUUUUGAAGUCACGGUGGUUCUGACAAAACAUUAUACGUGAUUCAUCUAACAAUAAUACUUGUAUUUUAAAGCCUAAGGAAAUGUCAGGAAAUUUUUUUUAUUAAAAACUAGGCAUGGUAGAUUGUUUUUAAAAUGUUGUAGAAUGAGGCAAAAUGUAAAUUGCAAA